rnacentral:rRNA from 1 species
UAAGACGAACCGUCCUAACGUUGUUCGGAUUCACUGGGCUUAAAGGGCGCGUAGGCGGCUGCUCAAGUCGGGGGUGAAAUCUUUCAGCUUAACUGGAAAAUAGCCUCCGAUACUGGGCGGCUUGAGGGAGAUAGGGGCACGCGGAACUCCAGGUGGAGCGGUGAAAUGCGUAGAUAUCUGGAGGAACGCCGGUGGCGAAAGCGGCGUGCUGGAUCUUCUCUGACGCUGAGGCGCGAAAGCCAGGGGAGCAAACGGGAUUAGAUACCCCGGUAGUCCUGGCCCUAAACGAUGAGGACUAGAUAGUGGGCUUGCAUGGGCUCACUGUCGAAGCAAAAGUUCUAAGUCCUCCGCCUGGGGAGUAUGGUCGCAAGGCUG